rnacentral:snoRNA from 1 species
AGGGAUCGCAGUUAAGUUUGAGAUGUAUCCUGAUUCAAUCUUCCUAAAAAGAGUUUCUGGGAUUUCCUACUUGUGGUUCCGAGAUAGUGCUGCAAGUCUCAAAUAACCAGAUACAUAA